GCAUUUUCAAACCAAAAGUGUGAAACGCCUACGCGGGGAAACCAGUCCACUGGACUGAUUUCUAAUCCCGCUUCGAUACGUAGGAUAAUGCGAACAAACAAAGAAAUAGAGCGGUUCCAACGAUCCCGUUUUAACCGGAACUGCUCCAGGG
rnacentral:misc_RNA from 1 species